rnacentral:rRNA from 1 species
UACAGAGGUGGCAAGCGUUGUUCGGAAUUACUGGGCGUAAAGGGCGCGUAGGCGGCCUUGUCAGUCAGACGUGAAAUCCCCAGGCUUAACUUGGGAACUGCGUCUGAUACUACAAGGCUGGAGUUCGGGAGAGGGAUGUGGAAUUCCAGGUGGUAGCGGUGAAAUGCGUAGAUAUCGGGGAGGAACACCAGUGGCGAAGGCGACUUCCUGGCCGUGUUCUUGACGCUGAGGCGCGAAAGCUAGGGUAGCAACGGG